rnacentral:sRNA from 1 species
CCAGGCAGUUCUGUGCGUGCUCACUGUUUAGUAGUACUCAAAACUGCCAGUGUGAGAGGAUUUGGAAAUCACGGGAUCUGCUCAAUACAAAAAUGUUUUUUUGAGUCUUUCUCCAUUUUAUCAGGAGUCUUUCUGCCACUGCAGUGGAUUUCCUUCCUGUGAUGGUGCACCGGCUCCCAGUUUUCAAAAGGUACAUGGGAAAUACUCCUCAGAAAAAAGCUGUCUUUGGGCAGUGUCGGGGUCUGCCAUGUGUUGCACCGCUGCUGACCACAGUGGAAGAGGCUCCACGGGGCAUCUCUGCUCGAGUCUGGGGACAUUUUCCUAAGUGGCUCAAUGGCUCUCUACUUCGAACUGGACCUGGGAAAUUCGAGUUUGGGAAGGAUAAGUACAAUCAUUGGUUUGAUGGGAUGGCACUGCUUCACCAGUUCAGGAUGGCAAAGGGCACAGUGACAUACAGGAGCAAGUUUCUACAGAGUGAUACAUAUAAGGCCAACAGUGCUAAAAACCGAAUUGUGAUCUCAGAAUUUGGCACACUGGCUCUCCCGGAUCCAUGCAAGAAUGUUUUUGAACGUUUCAUGUCCAGGUUUGAGCUGCCUGGUAAAGCUGCAGGUGAUAGUGAUGAUUAUUUAAACUAUUAUGAUAUAUAACCAUCUAUACAAACAUAAAUCUUGAAAAUAGAUAUUUUGUGUAUGUGAGAGGAUGUUGAAACUGCUUUCUCCCUUUGAGUGUGUGCUUAGCGUUGGCUACAGUAAGCUGUGGUACUUAAAUAACUCUAGGGUUUGGUUUCAGCCAUGACUGACAACACUAAUGUCAACUAUGUGCGGUACAAGGGUGAUUACUACCUCUGCACUGAGACCAACUUUAUGAAUAAAGUGGACAUUGAAACUCUGGAAAAAACAGAAAAGGUAAAGUACAGGUAAAAAAAAAAUGAAUAAAAUAGAUCCUAACAUUUCUUUCGAUUUGAAAUACUUUUUAGAGUAGUAUAUAUCAAGAAGAAAUUGAAGCCUUAACUACACAAAAAGAAAGUUAUUCAUGAUGCAGGUCACCUUUACCCUCUGGCCUGAUGGCCUCUGGGUUGGUUUUCCUUAAAUAUAAUUCUAAACUCCUUCCUUAGUCCUAAUAUCUGAAGGCUAGGGUAAAGGAGAAAUAGAAUAGUACUGAUCUGCUUUGGCUAGUUGGGGUGUUCUUCCUAGCUAUGGUUAGUAUUGGACUGGAGGUUGUCUAUACCUGUAUUUCCUUUACAUAACAUAUUAAUUAAAAAGAAAAUUUUACACUAGAUUUUUAAUUUUAAUUCUUAUGCUUCUUUUGAAUUUUCCUGUGAUAUUAGGCAAAUUUAUUCAGGGUGGUUUUGUUGUUAGUAGUGGUGAUGUGUUUUUGUUUGUUGUUUUAAUCUUGAUUUCUUUUUUUUAGUGGGAAAAAUAAUUUUUAUUUCUCAGAGGCAAGAAAUUAGGGCUUACAUUGCAGUUUUCAUAUCAUAUUUUUAAAAACAUUAGAUAUUUCUACUAUUUAUGCAUGUAAAUAGAGAUCUGCCAUUAAAAAUCUCCAGUGGUCUCAAAUUUGCAGGUAGAUUGGAGCAAAUUUAUUGCUGUGAAUGGAGCAACUGCACAUCCUCAUUACGACCCAGAUGGAACAGCAUACAAUAUGGGGAACUCCUUUGGGCCAUAUGGUUUCUCCUAUAAGGUUAUUCGGGUUCCUCCAGAGAAGGUGGACCUUGGGGAGACAAUCCAUGGAGCCCAGGAAUGACAAGGAACUACAUAAUUUUCAUUGAACAACCUCUAAAGAUGAACCUGUGGAAAAUUGCCACUUCUAAAAUUCGGGGAAAGGCCUUUUCAGAUGGGAUAAGCUGGGAACCCCAGUGUAAUACAUGGUUUCAUGUGGUGGAUAAACGCACUGGACAGCUCCUUCCAGGGAGAUACUACAGCAAACCUUUUGUUACAUUUCAUCAAAUCAAUGCCUUUGAGGACCAGGGCUGUGUUAUAAUUGAUUUGUGCUGUCAAGAUAAUGGAAGAACCCUAGAAGUUUACCAGUUACAGAAUCUCAGGAAGGCUGGGGAAGGGCUUGAUCAGGUCUAUAAUUCAGCAGCCAAAUCUUUCCCUCGAAGGUUUGUUUUGCCUUUAAAUGUCAGUUUGAAUGCCCCUGAGGGAGACAACCUGAGUCCAUUGUCCUAUACUUCAGCCAGUGCUGUGAAACAGGCUGAUGGAACGAUCUGGUGCUCUCAUGAAAAUCUACAUCAGGAGGACCUAGAAAAGGAAGGAGGCAUUGAAUUUCCUCAGAUCUACUAUGAUCAAUUCAGUGGCAAAAAGUAUCAUUUCUUUUACGGCUGUGGCUUUCGGCAUUUGGUGGGGGAUUCUCUGAUCAAGGUUGAUGUGGUGAAUAAGACACUGAAGGUUUGGAGAGAAGAUGGCUUUUAUCCCUCAGAACCUGUUUUUGUUCCAGCACCAGGAACCAAUGAAGAAGAUGGUGGGGUUAUUCUUUCUGUGGUGAUCACUCCCAACCAGAAUGAAAGCAAUUUUCUCCUAGUUUUGGAUGCCAAGAACUUUGAAGAGCUGGGCCGAGCAGAGGUACCUGUGCAGAUGCCUUAUGGGUUCCAUGGUACCUUCAUACCCAUCUGAUGGGACAACCACAAGGUCUGGAAACUAGGUUUAAAAUAAGUGUGCACUUGGACAUAAAGACUGGAGAAAUAAACACUGAGGACUCCAAAAGGGGGGCAAGGAGGAAGACGGGCAGGGGUUAAAAAGCUACCUAUUGUAUACUAUGUUCCCUAUUUGGGUGAUGGGUUCGCUAGAAGCCCAAACCUCAGCAUCACACAAUAUACUCAUGUAACAAGCCUGCACAUGUACCCCAGAAUCUAAAAUAAAAAUAAAAAGAAAAACAAAGAA